UUGAACUGAAGAGUUUGAUCAUGGCUCAGAUUGAACGCUGGCGGCAGGCCUAACACAUGCAAGUCGAGCGCGAAAGGCCUUCGGGUUGAGUAGAGCGGCGGACGGGUGAGUAACGCGUAGGAAUCUACCUGGUAGUGGGGGACAACUCGGGGAAACUCGAGCUAAUACCGCAUACGCCCUAUGGGGGAAAGCGGGGGAUCUUCGGACCUCGUGCUAUCGGAUGAGCCUGCGUUGGAUUAGCUAGUUGGUGGGGUAAAGGCCUACCAAGGCAACGAUC
rnacentral:rRNA from 1 species